CUUCCACAAGUCUAAAUAAGCUACGAUAAAUGCUGCAUAAUGCAAGUAUGCAAUAAAGGAGAGUAUUGAAAAUUGAAACAACGGUUUCUGGUGGAGCUUGAUCAAUGCAUCUUCUUUGUAACAGAUAACAUGGGCUUAGUCUGCAGCCGAAGUCGUCGUUUUCGUGAAGCUGAUGCUGAAGAAAAUGCUCAGGAUGCAGAAAUUGAAAGAAGAAUCAAGUUAGAAACAAAGGCUGAAAAGCAUAUUCAGAAACUUUUAUUACUAGGUGCUGGAGAAUCUGGGAAGUCUACAAUCUUUAAGCAGGCAAGAAAUUGCAUCUUCUCAACUGCUUGUGAAUUAUGAUAGUAUAUGAUUGCUAUUGGGUGUAGACUGCAAACCAACCAUUUUGAGAAGGGUGAAGUGUGUCCCAAAAGAAAGAAAGUUUCGGGUUCUCACAUAAACUGUAUUUCUUUGAUCCUUCGUCAUCCACACUUCCACAUGAAUCUUCCAAAUUGUUUCCCUCACAGCAUGGUUGCAACGGAUUCAUCAGUGUAGACUUUUCUGCAUAAUGUAGAAAGAAAAAAAAACUGUCAUCAUCUAGAGGUUUUCUUAUAAUUAUGCAAUUAGAU